rnacentral:ribozyme from 14 species
AAGAAAAAGGAAAAGGGAAAAAAAGGAGAACGAAUCUGUGUUUCCGAGAGACUGCAUUCGUUGCUACUUCCUUUUUGGUUCCGUCUUUCUGUGUUGUCUUUCUCUUUUACUCACGCUGUGUCUUUU